rnacentral:sRNA from 12 species
GCUCUGCACUUACCACUUGGCGGUGCAGGCAGAUCAUACAGAGUGGUCAGCUUGGUUGUCCUGCUUCGGCAAAUACACUUAGGGGUCUGGUAGAACGUAGAGUAGCAGAAAGCGAAAUACGGAGCCAGU